rnacentral:tRNA from 1 species
GGGGGGUAGCUCAGCUGGGAGAGCGUCGCGUUCGCAAUGCGAAGGUCGGGAGUUCGAUCCUCCUCCUCCCACCA